rnacentral:rRNA from 1 species
UCUCUAUACACCUGUUGCUUUGGCGGGCCCACCGGGGCCACCUGGUCGCCGGGGGACAUCUGUCCCCGGGCCCGCGCCCGCCGAAGCGCUCUGUGAACCCUGAUGAAGAUGGGCUGUCUGAGUACUAUGAAAAUUGUCAAAACUUUCAACAAUGGAUCUCUUGGUUCCGGCAUCGAUGAAGAACGCAGCGAAAUGCGAUAAGUAAUGUGAAUUGCAGAAUUCCGUGAAUCAUCGAAUCUUUGAACGCACAUUGCGCCCCCUGGCAUUCCGGGGGGCAUGCCUGUCCGAGCGUCAUUUCUGCCCUCAAGCACGGCUUGUGUGUUGGGUGCGGUCCCCCCGGGGACCUGCCCGAAAGGCAGCGGCGACGUCCGUCUGGUCCUCGAGCGUAUGGGGCUUUGUCACUCGCUCGGGAAGGACUGGCGGAGGUUGGUCACCACCAAAAUUUUACCACGGUUGACCUCGGAUCAGGUAGGAGUUACCCGCUGAACUUAAGC